rnacentral:rRNA from 1 species
AGAGUUUGAUCCUGGCUCAGAACGAACGCUGGCGGCAGGCCUAACACAUGCAAGUCUAGCGCGCCCUUUCGGGGGUGAGCGGCGGACGGGUGAGUAACGCGUGGGAAUAUGCCUUUCGGUACGGAAUAGUCCUGGGAAACUGGGGGUAAUACCGUAUGCGCCCUUUGGGGGAAAGAUUUAUCGCCGAAAGAUUAGCCCGCGUUGGAUUAGGUAGUUGGUGGGGUAAUGGCUCACCAAGCCGACGAUCCAUAGCUGGUUUGAGAGGAUGAUCAGCCACACUGGGACUGAGACACGGCCCAGACUCCUACGGGAGGCAGCAGUGGGGAAUCUUAGACAAUGGGGGCAACCCUGAUCUAGCCAUGCCGCGUGAGUGAUGAAGGCCUUAGGGUUGUAAAGCUCUUUCGCCGGGGAAGAUAAUGACUGUACCCGGUAAAGAAGUCCCGGCUAACUCCGUGCCAGCAGCCGCGGUAAUACGGAGGGGACUAGCGUUGUUCGGAAUUACUGGGCGUAAAGCGCACGUAGGCGGACCGAAAAGUUGGGGGUGAAAUCCCGGGGCUCAACCCCGGAACUGCCUUCAAAGCUAUUGGUCUGGAGUUCGAGAGAGGUGAGUGGAAUUCCGAGUGUAGAGGUGAAAUUCGUAGAUAUUCGGAGGAACACCAGUGGCGAAGGCGGCUCACUGGCUCGAUACUGACGCUGAGGUGCGAAAGCGUGGGGGAGCAAACAGGAUUAGAUACCCUGGGUAGUCCACGCCGUAAACGAUGAAUGCCAGACGUCGGGCAGCAUGCUGUUCGGUGUCACACCUAACGGAUUAAGCAUUCCGCCUGGGGAGUACGGUCGCAAGAUUAAAACUCAAAGGAAUUGACGG